GACGAACGCUGGCGGCGUGCUUAACACAUGCAAGUCGAACGGUGAAGCGCCUUCCUUUUUGGUGGGUGUGGAUGAGUGGCGAACGGGUGAGUAACACGUGAGUAACCUGCCCCCUUCUUCUGGAUAACCGCAUGAAAGUGUGGCUAAUACGGGAUAUUCUGGGUCUGUCGCAUGAUGGGUCUGGGAAAGAUAUUGUUUCGGUGGGGGAUGGGCUCGCGGCCUAUCAGCUUGUUGGUGGGGUGAUGGCCUACCAAGGCGGUGACGGGUAGCCGGCCUGAGAGGGUGGCCGGUCACACUGGGGCUGAGGCACGGCCCAGACUCCUACGGGAGGCAGCCGUGGGGAAUAUUGCACAAUGGGGGCGAGCCUGAUGCAGCGACGCCGCGUGCGUGAUGGAGGCCUUCGGGUUGUGAACCUCUUUCGCCAGUGAAGCAGGCCUGCCUCGUUUGUGGGUGGGUUGACGGUAGCUGGAUAAGAAGCGCCGGCUAACUACGUG
rnacentral:rRNA from 1 species